AACUGUAACAUACACAAGUAGUGCAUAGAAAACAUAAUAGGAGGUGUUUGAGCAAGCCAGCAACAAAUUCAAGGUUCGAUGAUAAUCAGUAACAAAUUCAACUCUGAUGAUUUUUAGCAAAGACAAAAAAAAAUUAAACUCGGUGAUUAUUCAGCAAGACAGCAACAAAUUCAAGAUUCAAUCGCUAACAAAUUAAUUGAUUACCAAUUCAACAUCAUCUCAAAAUACAGGGAGAAGGAAAUCUGGAAAAGGGAGAACAUGGGAAGUGAUGAUGCAUGGACUUACCAAGGGCGACUGGGUGACGAAGAGGACCCGACCCCAGAAGAGGACGAGCGACAAAGCAAGUGACGACCCUACGACGGUCCACGAUCCA